rnacentral:rRNA from 1 species
AUUGAACGCUGGCGGCGUGCCUAACACAUGCAAGUCGAGCGGUAACAGGUGUAGCAAUACAUGCUGACGAGCGGCGGACGGGUGAGUAACGCUUGGGAAUCUGCCUAUUAGUGGGGGACAACCCGGGGAAACUCGGGCUAAUACCGCAUACGCUCUACGGAGGAAAGCCGGGGACCGCAAGGCCUGGCGCUAAUAGAUGAGCCCAAGUCGGAUUAGCUAGUUGGUAGGGUAAUGGCCUACCAAGGCGACGAUCCGUAACUGGUCUGAGAGGACGACCAGUCACACCGGAACUGAGACACGGUCCGGACUCCUACGGGAGGCAGCAGUGGGGAAUAUUGGACAAUGGGCGAAAGCCUGAUCCAGCGACGCCGCGUGGGUGAAGAAGGCCUGCGGGUUGUAAAGCCCUUUCAGUGGGGAAGAAAAGCCUCGACCUAACACGUCGGGGUCUCGACGUAACCCAUAGAAGAAGCACCGGCUAACUCUGUGCCAGCAGCCGCGGUAA